rnacentral:rRNA from 1 species
UACGUAGGGUGCGAGCGUUAAUCGGAAUUACUGGGCGUAAAGCGCGCGUAGGUGGUUUGUUAAGUUGAAUGUGAAAUCCCCGGGCUCAACCUGGGAAUUGCGCUGGUGACUGCAGGGCUAGAGUACGGUAGAGGGGGGUGGAAUUCCUGGUGUAGCAGUGAAAUGCGUAGAGAUCAGGAGGAACACCGAUGGCGAAGGCAGCCCCCUGGGCCUGUACUGACGCUCAUGCACGAAAGCGUGGGGAGCAAACAGG